GUCCCUAGGCAAGGCCUGGGUCAGAGUUUAGUUGGGGAAUCUAGCAAAACACAGAGAGAUCUAGGUUUGCGUUGGAUAGACAUCCACGUCAGCCUUCUCCGUCGAAUCUCCUCCUCUCUCCCCACUUCCAUGGAGAAAAGCCCUCAGUUCUUCCAGAAAUGAGUAAUGAGGAGCUUAGUCUCUUGAGUCAGGAAAAGCUGGUUCAAAUGCCUGCUGUGUAUCCUAGGACAAAACACUCCUUUCUCUGACCCAAUAUCGAGUAGUUCCAAAUAUAGUGCUGCUGUCAGAAUCGAGUGGGACGAUGCUCUAAAAACACUCGGCACAGUGCCCGACACUUGAUAAACUUAGUAAAUGUUAGUCAUUAUUCUUAUUUUCUGUAAAAUGAAGGGAAUCAGUGGGGACGCUACUACUAAGAGGAAAGCAGUGCAAUGAUAUGAUACCUCUCCUAUCUGAGGAACCAGGGGUCCUUGGAGAAAUGGCUGACUCUAGAACUGAGGAGGGAAACAUACAAGAUGAACCUGAAACAUCUUACAGUGCCAGAAAGUAAGAAAAUGGUUGGAAUGAAAAAAACCUACAUGCAUGGAGGUACAUCAAAGGGACACAGGAACAACAAGGAAUUAUGUUUUCAUGAGGAAAAUGCCUGAUAAAUCCCACUUGUGGGACAUCCUACAAAAGACCAGGACUCCUCGGACUGUUAAGGUCAUCAAGAACCAGAGUCAAGAACCAGAGAAGGUCUGAGAAGCUGCCCCAGUCAAGAGGAGCUUAAGAAACUACAACUAUCAAAUGUAAUGUGGUAUCCUGGGGGAGAUCCUGGGACAGAAAAAAAAAGUGUUAAGUAAAAGAAAUCUGAAUAAACCAUGGACUUUCAUUAAUAAACUAAGCCAUUUACUAAUAAACUCAAUUCAAGUUUAGUUGGUUCAUUAAUUAUAACAAAUGUACUAAAUAAUAUAUUAAUAAGAUGUUCAUUAUAGGGAACACUGGGUGCA